GACAGAGGAUGCAAGCGUUAUCCGGAAUGAUUGGGCGUAAAGCGUCUGUAGGUGGCUUUUUAAGUCCGCCGUCAAAUCCCAGGGCUCAACCCUGGACAGGCGGUGGAAACUACCAAGCUGGAGUACGGUAGGGGCAGAGGGAAUUUCCAGUGGAGCGGUGAAAUGCGUGAGAGAUUGGAAAGAACACCGAUGGCGAAGGCACUUUACUGGGCUAUUACUAACACUGAGAGACGAAAGCUAGGGUAGCAAAUGGG
rnacentral:rRNA from 1 species